rnacentral:rRNA from 1 species
UUAGUGGAAGCGUCUGGAAAGGCGCGCGAUACAGGGUGACAGCCCCGUACACAAAAAUGCACAUAUUGUGAGCUCGAUGAGUAGGGCGGGACACGUGGUAUCCUGUCUGAAUAUGGGGGGACCAUCCUCCAAGGCUAAAUACUCCUGACUGACCGAUAGUGAACCAGUACCGUGAGGGAAAGGCGAAAAGAACCCCGGCGAGGGGAGUGAAAAAGAACCUGAAACCGUGUACGUACAAGCAGUGGGAGCCUCUUUUAUGGGGUGACUGCGUACCUUUUGUAUAAUGGGUCAGCGACUUAUAUUCUGUAGCAAGGUUAACCGAAUAGGGGAGCCGAAGGGAAACCGAGUCUUAACUGGGCGUUAAGUUGCAGGGUAUAGACCCGAAACCCGGUGAUCUAGCCAUGGGCAGGUUGAAGGUUGGGUAACACUAACUGGAGGACCGAACCGACUAAUGUUGAAAAAUUAGCGGAUGACUUGUGGCUGGGGGUGAAAGGCCAAUCAAACCGGGAGAUAGCUGGUUCUCCCCGAAAGCU